rnacentral:rRNA from 1 species
CCUACGGGGGGCAGCAGUGGGGAAUUUUCCGCAAUGGGGGCAACCCUGACGGAGCAAUACCGCGUGAGGGAGGACGGCUUUUGGGUUGUAAACCUCUUUUAUCAGGGAAGAAACGAUGACGGUACCUGAUGAAUCAGCAUCGGCUAACUCCGUGCCAGCAGCCGCGGUAAUACGGAGGAUGCAAGCGUUAUCCGGAAUUAUUGGGCGUAAAGCGUCCGUAGGUGGCACUUCAAGUCUUUUGUCAAAGCGUGCGGCUUAACCGCAUACGGGCAGAG